rnacentral:lncRNA from 1 species
UGGAUCCUAAAAAACAUACAUAUUGGAUUCAUAUUUCAGCACAGCCCAACUAAUUUGGGAUAAGGUUGCGUACUUGCGUUGGAUACAAGAUAUCAAUUUAGGAUUUCAUGUGGUCUUUUAGUAUUGUGCUAUUUUAGCUAAACCACAUUCUCCAAUGAUUUGCAAUCUUAUGAGAUAAAAUAUUUGCUUUCAAAUUACAAUAUAUAGUAAUAGGAUCAUUUUUCACUUUGAAGUCAGUUGAAAUAUUUAUAUUUGCAUAUUCAAAAUUGGUAUAAAUUCGUUUAAUUUAAUAUAAUACAAUUAAGAAAAUUGUAACUAUUUAAAAGUGCUACUAAUUACAAUAUUUAUUGUUUUCAAAAAAUCACUUCAAUGUUGAAUUUACAAAAAUCUCAUUAACUUUGAAUAAUCAAACGUGAUAUUAUAUUUCGCAACAGAGGAGUAAUUUCCAAAAUGUAACUAUUAAACAAUUUUUUUUAUGAUGGUGGAACCCUGAUGUCCAAUGAGUCACUGGGAGCACGCAAUAGUCAAUAACUUAUAAACAACGCACACCAGAUAAGCAAUAGUAAACCAUGUUUCACACCAUGAUUUUUUUUCCUUUUUAGUUUCUCGCUGAAGCAAAAAUCAAAAAACUUCUCCAAGUAACCUUCCUCUAUUUUAAAGUUAAUAAGUGUUAUCAACCUCAACAAUCCCUAUGUUUUUUUUAGUGAAAAGAUUAUAGAUUCUUCCAACUUUUAUCCAAAGAAAAGCUUCUUUUCUUUUUAAAAUAAAAAAGUUUGACUUUUAUCCAGAGAUUCCUUCUGCACUGUGAUGCAGGCAUAGUGAUGAUAGCUUAAAGGAAUUACAUAAUUGUUUGUACUAUCAGAAGUAGACACCAUCAAGCCAGUUUUUACUAGCAGUAUCAAUAUGGGCCUUGUAACUUCCACAGCAAUAUCUUUUAAUUCUAUUAGGCUAUGUUUGUUUGCAAGGAGUACACUUGGGAUAGGACUAUUAAUUUCAAGUGUCUUGUUUGUUUUUAAAUUUGAGCUUGGGACUAUUAGUCCUGGGAUUAUAAAAUAGCUUAAGAUGAGGUAUUAUUUAAUAUCAUGUUCUACCUGGUAUUCUAAUCCCUAGCAUUUGGGAUUAAAAAUUGUUAGACAAAAUUAACCUCAAUCUUUUUCUAAAAUGACCAUCAUAUCCUGCAAUGAUUCCAUGUGGUCUUUUAAUAUUGUGCUAUUUUAGCUAAACCACAUUCUCCAAUGAUUUGCAAUCUUAUGAGAUAAAAUAUUUGCUUUCAAAUUACAAUAUAUAGGAUCAUUUUUCACUUUGAAGUCAGUUGAAAUAUUUAUAUUUGCAUAUUCAAAAUUGAUAUAAAUUCGUUUAAUUUAAUAUAAUACAAUUAAGAAAAUUGUAACUAUUUAAAAGUGCUACUAAUUACAAUAUUUAUUGUUUUCAAAAAAUCACUUCAAUGUUGAAUUUACAAAAAUCUCAUUAACUUUGAAUAAUCAAAUGUGAU